UGAGUAACCUGCCCUUAACUCUGGGAUAAGCCUGGGAAACUGGGUCUAAUACCGGAUAUGACUCCUCAUCGCAUGGGUGGGGGGUGGAAAGCUUUAUUGUGGUUUUGGAUGGACUCGCGGCCUAUCAGCUUGUUGGUGAGGUAAUGGCUCACCAAGGCGACGACGGGUAGCCGGCCUGGAGGGGGUGACCCGGCCACACUGGGACUGAGACACGGCCCAGACUCCGUACGGGGAGGCAG
rnacentral:rRNA from 1 species